rnacentral:rRNA from 1 species
GACAGAGGGUGCUAACGUUGUUCGGAAUUACUGGGCGUAAAGCGCGUGUAGGCUGUUACGCAAGUCGGGCGUGAAAGCCCUGGGCUCAACCCAGGAAGUGCACCCGAAACUGCGCAACUUGAGUCUCGGAGAGGGAGGCGGAAUUCUGGGUGUAGAGGUGAAAUUCGUAGAUAUCCAGAGGAACACCAGUGGCGAAGGCGGCCUCCUGGACGAUGACUGACGCUGAGACGCGAAAGCGUGGGUAGCAAACAGG